rnacentral:rRNA from 1 species
UUCGCAAUGCCCGAAAGGGUGACGAAGCGACGCCGCGUGCGGGAAGAAGGCCUUCGGGUUGUAAACCGCUGUCGGGAGUUAAGAAGUGCAAGGGUGUUAAUAGCAUCUUUGCUUGACUAAGGCUCCGGAGGAAGCCACGGCUAACUCUGUGCCAGCAGCCGCGGUAAUACAGAGGCGGCAAGCGUUGUUCGGAAUUAUUGGGCGUAAAGAGCACGUAGGCGGCUAUGCAGGUCGGUUGUGAAAGCCUUCCGCUCAACGGAAGAACGGCAUCCGAUACUGCAUGGCUCGAGUGCGGGAGGGGAGAGUGGUACUUCUGGUGGAGCGGUGAAAUGCGUAGAUAUCAGAAGGAACACUGGCGGCGAAAGCGACUCUCUAGCCCGUAACUGACGCUGAGUGUGCGAAAGCUAGGGGAGCAAACGGGAUUAGAUACCCCGGUAGUCCUAGCCGUAAACGAUGGGCACUAAGUAGAGGGGUUUU